CGCGGGGUGGAGCAGCCUGGUAGCUCGUCGGGCUCAUAACCCGAAGGUCGCAAGUUCAAAUCUUGCCCCCGCAACCA
rnacentral:tRNA from 6 species